rnacentral:rRNA from 1 species
UACAGAGGGUGCGAGCGUUGUCCGGAAUCAGCUAGGGCGUAAAGGGCGCGUAGGCGGCUCGGUAAGCGGUGCGGUGAAAGCCCGGGGCUCAACCCUGGGUCGGCCGUGCGAACUGCGGAGCUGGAGCACUGUAGAGGCAUGGUGGGAAUUCCGGGUGUACGCGGUGGAAUGCGUAAGAGAUCCGGAAGGAACACCGGUGGCGAAGGCGGCCUGCUGGGCAGUUGCUGACGCUGAGGCGCGACAAGCGUGGGGAGCAAACAGG